rnacentral:lncRNA from 1 species
CAAUGACAGGCAAAACUGGUAUCUGCAGAGCAGGUUGUUCUAUUGACUUCAAUAUUAAAAUCCUCCUCUGCUGAUGUUUUUCUACUGUGCUCUAUCAACAGUUCUCAUCCAAACCAGAGGUAAAGCUGAACUCCUAACACUGUAUUCUUCGUUAAACUUAUACAUUCUGGUAGGUCUUUGAUCUUAGAGGUCCCAAGAUGUGGUGGGCCACUCCCAAGAUGGAGGCGGCCACUCUCAAGAUUGCAGCAAGCCUUUUGUUCUCUGACCUGGGGUUCUUGGCCUCACGGAUUCCAAGGAAUGGAAUCUUGGGCCAUGCGGUGAGUAUUAUAGCUCUAUUAGAAGCCACGGGUCACAGAAGAGAACCGUGGAACCCAACAACUAGUGUUCAGCUCGAUUAGGACAAACCCUGGGCCCUUGGCCAUGCAGGAGCAAUGGCGAGCCUCUAUCCCGAUUGGGAGCGGCAAUGGGCGCCUCACUGGAUCAGGAGCGCAGCGGACACUCUGCCGGAUCCGGAGGGAUGGAAGUCAGCGGCGGGUCUGGACUGCGGCAAACAGCAGUGGUGGACGGCAAGCAAAAGUUCAACUCGAGCCGUAACAAACACGGACCAGAAGAGUGUGCAAUUGCAAGAUUUAAUAGAGUGAAAAAAGAGCUCCCAUACAACAGGAGGGGACCCAAAGGGGGUUGCCCACUCCCUGCUCAAAUGCCUGGGUUUAUAUCCCAACCAUUGUCCCUCCCCCUGUGCUCUCAGAUGAUAUAUGAUUUGACUACUUCUUUACCUCCUGCUUUUGCCUAAUUUGUAUUUUAGUAAGCCCUCUUUACUACCUGAUUGGUCGGGUGUGAGCUGAGUUACCAGCCCUGUGUUUAAAGGUGGGUGUGGUCACCUUCCUCAGCUAGGCUUAGGAAUUCUUAGUCGGUCUAGGAAAUCCAGCUAGUCCUGUCUCUCAAUUUCAUGUUUGUUGGGCAUUUGUACACCAUCUUAGAAGAAUUGUCUGUUCACACCCUUUGGCCAUUUUUAUAGGACUAUUUGGUCGGGGGGCGGGUGUUGUUAUUGCUGAGUUGAAGCACUUUGUUACAUAUUGUAGAUUCACAUAUAUGAUUUACAAAUAUUUACUCCCAUUCUGUAGCCUGACUUUUUAUUCUGUUGAUAGUUUCCUUUAAUGCACAGAAGGUUUUAAGUUUGAUAUAGUCCCAUUUGUCUAGUUUGCUUUCUGUUGCCUGUGCUUUUAAUGUCAUGUUUAAGAAAUCCUUGGCAAAUUAAAUGUUCUGAAGCUUUUCUACUUGUUUUCUCCCAUGACUUUCACAGUUUUAGAUUUUAACCCUUAGGUCAUUGAUCUAUUUUGAGUUGAUUUUUGUUUAUGGUACAAAGUAAGGGUCCAACUCUAUUAUUUUCAUACGAAUAUCCAGUAUUUCCAACAUCUCUUGUUGAAAAGGCUGUGUAGUCUUGUUUCUUCAAAGUUUGUUUACACAUAUAUGCACGGGUUUAUUUCCAGGCUCUCUAUUAUGUUCAACUGGUCUGUUUUUCUUUUGCUAUUGAUUUCUAGUUUUACUCUCUUGCAGUUGGAGAAGAUACUUUUUAUGAUUUUAAUCUUCUUAAAUGUAUUAAAUAUUUGUUUUGUUGCCUAACAUGUGGUCUCUUUUGGAGAUCAGUCCAUGUGCACUUAGAAGACUAUGUAUUCUGCUGUUGCUGUAUGGAAACUUCUAUAUAUGUCUGUUAGGUCUCAUUGCUCUACAGUGUUAUUAAAGUUCUCUACUCUGAUUUUUCUUACCUACAUAAAUUAUUUCUCUAUUAGAUUUUUUUUAAACAAUUUCAAAUUUUAUUUUAGAUUCUGGGGGUAAAUGUUCAGUUUUGUUACACGGGUAGAUUGUGUGAUGCUGAGCUUUGGAAUAUGACUGAAGCCUUCACCCAGGAAGUGAGUAUAAUACCCAGUAGGUAGUUUUUCAACCCACGGCAUGGCACCCUCCCUUCCAGCAGUCUCCAGUAUCUAUCCUCCCAUCUUUAUGUCUGUGGGUACUCAAUGUUUAGCUCCCACUUUGAGAACAUGUGGUAUUUGGUUUUAUGUUCCUGAGAUAAUUUACUUAGGAUAAUGGCCUUCAGCUGCAUCCAUGUUGCUGCAAAGUAUACGCUUUUGGUUUUUUUAUGUCUGCAUGGAAUUCCAUUGUGUAUCUGUACCAUAUUUUCCUCAUUCAAUCCACUCCUGAUGGGCACCUAGGUUGAUUCUAUGUCUUUGCUAUUGUGAAGAGUACUGCAAUGAACAUAAAAAUACACGUGCCUUUUUUGGGAACAAUUUAAUUUCUUCGGGUAUGCACCCUGUAGUGAGAUUGCAGGGUUGAAUGGCAGUUCUAAGUUCCUUUAGAAAUAUCCAAACGGCUUUCCACAGAGACUGAACUAAUUUGCAUUUCCACUAAAGUGUUCCCUUUUCUCUGUAGCCUCACCAACUUCAGUUAUUUUUUGACUUUUUAAUAAUAGCCAUUCUGACUGGUGUGAGAUGCUAUUUCAUUGUGGUUAUGGUUUGCAUUUCUAUGAUGAUUAGCGAUGUUGAGCAUUUUUUCAUGUUUUUUGGCCACUUGUAUGUUCUCUUUUUGAGAAGUGUUUAUGUCUUUUGCCAAUUUUUAAUGUGAGAUUUUUUUUUUUUUUUGCUUGCUGGUUUUCUUUAAAUUUGUUAUAAAUUCUGGAUAUUAGACUCUUGUCAGAUACAUAGUUUACAAAUAUUUUCUCCCGUUCUGUAGAUUGUUCCCUAUAUUCUGUUGAGAGUUUAUUUUGCUGUGCAGAAACUCUUUCAUUUAAUUAGGUACACUUGGAGAAACUUUUUGAGUUGCAAUUACUUUUGAGGACUUAGCCAUAAAUUGUUUGCCAAGGCUGAUGUUGAGUAGGCUAUUUCUUAAUUUUCCUUCUAGGAUUCUUAUAGUUUGAAGUUUUACAUUUAGAUCGUCAAUCCAUCUUGAGUUCAUUUUUGUAUAUGAUGAAAAGUAGGGGUCUGAUUUUAUUCUUCUGCAUAAGACCAGUUAUCCCAGAACCGUUUGUUGAAUAGGAAGUUCUUUUCUCAUUGCUUGUUUGUGGGGACUUUGUCAAAGAUCAAAUAGUUAUAGGUGUGUGGCUGUAUUUCAGGGUUUCUUUAUUCCAUUUCACUGAUCUAUGGGUCUGUUUUUGUGCUGCUCUUUACUGAUAUUCUGUCUGGUUGUUCUAAUCAUAACUGAAACUGGGCUAUGGAAGACUACUAUUGUUAUUGUGUUGCUAUCUAUUUCUCUCUUCAAUUCUGGCAGUGUUUGCUUCAUAUAUUUAAGGGCUCUAAUGCUUACAUAUAUACAUUUAUAAUUGUCAUAUUUUUCUGCUGAAUUAUUUUAUCAUAUUAUAAUGUUCAUCUUUUUCUCUUGUGAGUGCUUUUGUCUCCAUACAUAUUGGGUCUAAUAUAUGUAUGGGCAUACCUGCUGUCUUUAAGUUCUCAGUUAUGUAGCAUAUCCUUUUUCAUCCUUUUACGUUCAGCUUAUGUGUGUCUGUAGAUAUAAAGUGAGUCUUUUGUAGACAGCAUACAGUUGGAUCCUGGGUUUUGUUUUUUAACUUAAUUUUUUUUUUUAUUUAUUCAGCCCCUCUGUGUCCUUUAAUUGGUGACUUGAAAUUCACAUAUAUUUAUAGUAAUCACUAAUAAGAAGAUAAUAAUACCAUUUCAGUCAUUAUUUUCUAUAUGUCUUGUAGCUGUAUUAUCUCUCCUUUCUCCUCUUGUUUGCUUCCUUUGUGUUCUAUUGUUUCUUUUCUUUUUGUGUGGUGACAUGUUUUGAUUCUCUUUUCAUUUCAUUUUGUGCACAUUCUAUAAUUUCUUUGUGACUAACAUUAUAUUGCAUAAAAUAUUUUUAAAUUAUAGCAAUCUAUUUCUAAUUGAUAGCAACUUAGUUUUAAUCACAUAUAAAAAUUUU